rfam:Bacillus lehensis G1, complete genome.
GCGCUGUUAGCUCAGUGGGAGAGCACUUGCUUGACAGGCAAGGGGUCACAAGUUCAAAUCUUGUACAGCGCA